rnacentral:snRNA from 15 species
GUGCCAAAACAUAAUGAGUAAGGAAAACCAAUAGGCCUUGCUAAUCGCUUGGCAGCUUGGCUUCUCGGCAGAAGGGACUGCAAGGUCCCUUUGAAGCUCAAUUUUUGAUAGGGCACAGGUCGUCCCCGUGUUCAGAUGCGCAGUGCGGCGGGCCGGCGCCUACUUUGUGUCCGGUUUGCUGUGCUCGCAU